GUUUUUCCGCGCCGUAGCUAACGCAUUAAGUGCCCCGCCUGGGGAGUACGGCCGCAAGGCUAAAACUCAAAGGAAUUGACGGGGGCCCGCACAAGCGGCGGAGCAUGCGGAUUAAUUCGAUGCAACGCGAAGAACCUUACCAAGGCUUGACAUGGACCGGACCGCCGCAGAAAUGUGGUUUCUCCUUUUGGGGCCGGUUCACAGGUGGUGCAUGGUUGUCGUCAGCUCGUGUCGUGAGAUGUUGGGUUAAGUCCCGCAACGAGCGCAACCCUCGUUCCAUGUUGCCAGCACGUGAUGGUGGGGACUCAUGGGAGACUGCCGGGGUCAACUCGGAGGAAGGUGGGGACGACGUCAAAUCAUCAUGCCCCUUAUGUCUUGGGCUUCACGCAUGCUACAAUGGCCGGUACAAAGGGUUGCGAUACUGUGAGGUGGAGCUAAUCCCAAAAAGCCGGUCUCAGUUCGGAUUGGGGUCUGCAACUCGACCCCAUGAAGUCGGAGUCGCUAGUAAUCGCAGAUCAGCAACGCUGCGGUGAAUACGUUCCCGGGCCUUGUACACACCGCCCGUCAAGUCACGAAAGUUGGUAACACCCGAAGCCGGUGGCCUAACCCCUUGUGG
rnacentral:rRNA from 1 species